AGAGUUUGAUCAUGGGUCAGAGCGAACGCUGGCGGCAGGCCUAACACAUGCAAGUCGAAGGAACCCUUCGGGGUGAGUGGCGGACCGGUGAGUAACACGUGGGAACGUACCCUUUGGUUCGGAACAACACAGGGAAACAUGUGCUAAUACCGGAUCUGCCCUUCGGGGGAAAGAUUUAUCGCCAUUGGAGCGGCCCGCGUUGGAUUACCUAGUUGGUGGGGUAAAGGCCCUCCAAGGCUCCGAUCCAUAGCUGGUCAGAGAGGAUGAUCAGCCACACUGGGACUGAGACACGGCCCAGAGUCCUACGGGAGGCAGCAGUGGGGAAUCUUGCGCAAUGGGCCAAAGCCUGACGCAGCCUUGCCGCGUGAAUGAUGAAGGUCUUAGGAAUGUAAAAUUCUUUCAGCAGGGACGAUAAUGACGGUACCWGCAGAAGAAGGCCCGGCUAACUUCGUGCCAGCAGCCCCGGUAAUACGAAGGGGGCUAGCGUUGCUCGGAUUUACUGGGCCUAAAGGGCGCGUAGGCGGACGACCAAGUUGGGGGUGAAAGGCCGGGGCUCAACCUCGGAACUGCCUUCAAAACAGGCCGUCUAGAGUAUGAGAGAGGUGUGUGGUUCUCCGAGUGUAGAGGUGAAAUUCGUAGAUAUUCGGAAGAACACCAAUGGCGAAGGCGACACACUGGCUCAUUACUGACGCUGAGGCGCGAAAGCGUGGGGAGCAAACCGGAUUAGAUACCCUGGUAGUCCACGCCGUAAACGAUGAGUGCUGGCUGUCGGGCGGCAUGCCUUUCGGUGGCGCAGCUAACGCAUUAAGCACUCCGCCUGGGGAGAACGGUCGCAAGAUUAAAACUCAAAGGAAUUGAGGGGGCCCCGCACAAGCGGUGGAGCAUGUGGUUUAAUUCGAAGCAACGCGCAGAACCUUACCACCUUUAGACAUGCCCGGCUAGGCUGAGAGAUCAGCUGUUCCCUUUGGGGACCGGGACACAGGUGCUGCAUGGCUGACGUCAGCUCGUGUCGUGAGAUGUUGGGUUAAGUCCCGCAACGUGCGCAACCCUCGCUGUUAGUUGCCACCAUUCGGUUGGGCACUCUAACAGGACUUCCGGAGCUAAUCCGGAGGAAGGCGGGGAUGACGUCAAGUCCUCAAGGCCCUUACGGGGUGGGCUACACACGUGCUUCAAUGGCGACUACAGAGGGCUGCAAACCUGCGAAGGGGAACCAAUCCCAAAAAGUCGUCUCAGUUCGGGUUGCACUCUGCAACUCGAGUGCAUGAAGUUGGAAACGCUAGUAAUCGCGGAUCAGCAUGCCGCGGUGAAUACGUUCCCGGGCCUUGUUCACACCGCCCGUCACACCUUGGGAGUUGGUUCUACCCGAAGGCGCUGCGCUGACCGCAAGGAGGAAGGCGACCACGGUAGGGUCAGCGCCUGGGGUGAAGUCGUAACAAGGUAGCCGUAGGGGAACCUGCGGCUGGAUCCCCUCCUU
rnacentral:rRNA from 1 species